rnacentral:rRNA from 1 species
GACGUAGGGGGCCAGCGUUGUUCGGAAUUACUGGGUGUAAAGGGCGCGUAGGCGGCAAUUCAAGUCAGCUGUGAAAUCUCCGAGCUUAACUCGGAACGGUCAGCUGAUACUGUUUUGCUAGAGUGCAGAAAGGGCAACCGGAAUUCUUGGUGUAGCGGUGAAAUGCGUAGAUAUCAAGAGGAACACCUGAGGCGAAGGCGGGUUGCUAGGCUGACACUGACGCUGAGGCGCGAAAGCUAGGGUAGCAAACGGG